CCUACGGGUCUGCAGUGGGGAAUAUUGCGCAAUGGGCGCAAGCCUGAUGCAGCCAUGCCGCGUGUGUGAAGAAGGCCUUCGGGUUGUAAAGCACUUUCAGCGGGGAGGAAGGCGGUGAGGUUAAUAACCUCAUCGAUUGACGUUACCCGCAGAAGAAGCACCGGCUAACUCCGUGCCAGCAGCCGCGGUAAUACGGAGGGUGCAAGCGUUAAUCGGAAUUACUGGGCGUAAAGCGCACGCAGGCGGUCUGUCAAGUCGGAUGUGAAAUCCCCGGGCUCAACCUGGGAACUGCAUUCGAAACUGGCAGGCUAGAGUCUUGUAGAGGGGGGUAGAAUUCCAGGUGUAGCGGUGAAAUGCGUAGAGAUCUGGAGGAAUACCGGUGGCGAAGGCGGCCCCCUGGACAAAGACUGACGCUCAGGUGCGAAAGCGUGGGGAGCAAACAGGAUUAGAUACCCUAGUAGUC
rnacentral:rRNA from 1 species